CCUGCUGCGGACAAAUAAAGUGAAUGUGGGUGUCCAAACCACCGGCGGUCAGGAUCAAACCUUCGCCCGCCGUGACUUCCGUAGUCGGCCCCACGACCAUCCCUGGAUCAACCCCCGCCAUCACGUCAGGAUUGCCCGCUUUCCCGAUGCCGGAAAUACGUCCGUCCUUGACCCCAAUAUCUGCUUUAAAGAUACCGGUAUGAUCGACCACAAGCGCAUUGGUGAUUAACAGGUCCAGCGCCACGUCUUGUCCGACUCCGGCUGCCUGCCCCAUGCCUUCCCGC
rnacentral:sRNA from 1 species